rnacentral:rRNA from 1 species
CCUUUGUACACACCGCCCGUCGCUACUACCGAUUGAAUGGCUCAGUGAGGCCUUCGGACUGGCUCGAGGAGGUUGGCAACGACCACCUCAAGCCGGAAAGUUGGUCAAACUCGGUCAUUUAGAGG